rnacentral:rRNA from 1 species
GCUUAACACAUGCAAGUCGAACGGUAAGGCCCCUUCGGGGUACACGAGUGGCGAACGGGUGAGUAACACGUGAGCAACCUGCCCUUGACUCUGGAAUAACAGCUGGAAACAGCUGCUAAUACCGGAUAUGACUGACGGCGUCAUCGUCGUUGGUGGAAAGCCCUGGCGGUCAAGGAUGGGCUCGCGGCCUAUCAGCUUGUUGGUGAGGUAACGGCUCACCAAGGCUUCGACGGGUAGCCGGCCUGAGAGGGCGACCGGCCACACUGGGACUGAGAUACGGCCCAGACUCCUACGGGAGGCAGCAGUGGGGAAUAUUGUACAAUGGGCGAAAGCCUGAUGCAGCAACGCCGCGUGCGGGAUGAAGGCCUUAGGGUUGUAAACCGCUUUCAGCAGGGACGAAGCGAAAGUGACGGUACCUGCAGAAGAAGGUCCGGCCAACUACGUGCCAGCAGCCNCGGUAAUAC